UGCGGCAAAUGAGAGAGUGUAUCAUGUAUUUUAGAGACUAGGAUUUUUUUGUGAGAGAGAUAUCUUUUGUACUACACUUUGAUUAUAAUGAAAUUCUCCGCUCUAUCUUUGCUCAUAGCUGUAGGCUAGUGGUCUAAUUAUAUAAAUAUUUGCAUGUUUUAUUUGUUGUUCUCCCUUUUUUGAUUCUCUUCAUUUGAUAUUUUUGCGUCCGACAAAUUAAACCUUUUCCAUUGUUGUCAUAACAAACUGAUAUCAGAGAAAAUGUAGUAUCAAAAUAAGUCAUGGAGUCAUAACAAUAAUAAUAAUAAGAGUAGUGCUUCUAUACUUGUUAUUUUUCGAUACUUUUUAUUCAUUCCUAUUCUAUGGUUCAGAUUUAAUUUUAUUUAAGUUGUGACCUACAAUAGCAGGUCACUUUAAUACAAGUACUGGUUACCAGGUACUCCAAAGAGUGAUAUUCUGGUCUUUUAAUACAUGGAUAAUUAAGUAAUUUUACCUCAACUAUAUUAUCAAAACCUCUCUUCUCUCUUUAUUUCAUUUUUCUCUCUUUAUCUUUCCUCCUCCAUCCAUAUAUAUUUUGCUGUUUCAAAAAUUUUCUAAACAUAUUAAAUAUGUUAAAUUUAAAUAUUUACUAACAUUAAAUUCAAUACUUUUACAAAUAGCACUAUUUCUAAAAUUUCUAAAAUUUAAAUUAGAGCCUAAAUUAUAGAAAUUCUAAAAUUUCUAAAAUUAAUGCUUAAAUUAGUGCAAAAUUAAUGCCUAAAUUUAGAAUAUCAAUCAAAACUUUUUUAAACUUUGCGAUAUUUAAUUACAAGAAUACCCUCAACGUGAAGUAACCUUUUAACCUACUACAUGUUAAAAUGACAUCUUUAUCCUUUAUUGAUGUACGGUUAAGAUCUUUUUUGUUUUUUUUAUAAAAUAAAGUAUUGAAUCAUUUCUCUAAUAAUAAUAGAAGCCUCAAAAUGUCCUCAAAUAGCUAGAUUGGCUUGAUUACACUUAUCAUCUUACAGCAAAGAUCGACUUGAAGUACUUGAAGAGAAUAAGGAGGUGUGAUAAAGUGAAAACGGGCUGUAACACAAAGAAGGUUCUGUAAUUAAUAAGCAUUAUCACCACAACAGAAUUAGAUUAUAGCGACACAUGUUUGGGACACUUUUGUGUAAGUGUCCCAUUUAUAUCAAAAUUUUUUAAAAAAUCUACUAAUGCCUAAAUAUAAAGUCCAAUCCAACCAAAAAUAAAAGAUUACUCUACUUAACCCACUCCACCCAGCCCAUUCGGCCCGAUUGCAAACAGAAAAGAAAAAAAAAAAAAGAAAAAUCGAUUACCAUAUAUCUCCCCUUCUCCUCUUACUCAAUCCACUGAAAUUCUAAACGAAGAGCCCUUCCCUCUCCUCACUACAACAAAAACGGUCUAUAGCGACACUUUUAAAUGUAGGUACAUGUCAAAAAAGUGCUGCUAGCUAAAAUUACCGACACUUUUAAAAAGUGUUGCUAUAUGUGGGGUCGCUAGGUAUAUAGUGACAGUUAAAGAGUGUCGCUAUAACCUAAAAGAGUGCUGCUAAUUUACCAACACUUAUUUAAGCAUUUAGCAACCGUCGAAACUCUAUCUCGUUGGCUGCGGUGGCGGAGGAGGACGACAGUAAAGGCUCUUCGUCUAGAAUUUCAGUAGAUUGAGUGAAGAGAGAAGAAAAGAUGGCAAUUGAUUUUUCUUUUUUUUUUUCUUUUCUGUUUGUAAUCGGGCCAAAUGGACUGGAUGUGGUGGGUUGAGUAGAGUAAUCUUUUAUUUUUGGUUGGAUUGAGCUUUAUAUUUAGGCAUUAGUAGAUGUGUUUUUAAGUUUUAGCAUAAAUGAGACACUUACUCAAAAGUGUCCCAAACAUGUGUCCCUAUAACCUAAUUCUGUUGUAGUGCCUCAUCCUCACCACCGCAGCCAACGAGGUAGAGUUCUGACGGUUGCUUAUGCUUAAAUAAAUGUUAGUAAAUUAGUAACACUCUUUUUAGAUUAUACCAACACUCUUUAACUGUCACUAUAUACUUAGCGACCCCACAUAUAGCAAUACUUUUUAAAAGUGUCGGUAAUUUAGCCAGCAAUAUUUUUUUUAACUUGUACCGACAUUUAAAAGUGUCGCUAUAGGCCGCUUUUGUUGUAGUGUAUCUAUAUUUAUAGCAAAUUUCAAAAAAAAAAUCUCUAUAUUUAUAGCCUUUAUAAU
rnacentral:lncRNA from 1 species